CCUACGGGAGGCAGCAGUGAGGAAUAUUGGUCAAUGGACGAGAGUCUGAACCAGCCAAGUAGCGUGAAGGAUGACUGCCCUAUGGGUUGUAAACUUCUUUUAUAUGGGAAUAAAAUGUUCCACGUGUGGGAUUUUGUAUGUACCAUAUGAAUAAGGAUCGGCUAACUCCGUGCCAGCAGCCGCGGUAAUACGGAGGAUCCGAGCGUUAUCCGGAUUUAUUGGGGUUAAAGGGAGCGUAGGUGGAUUGUUAAGUCAGUUGUGAAAGUUUGCGGCUCAACCGUAAAAUUGCAGUUGAAACUGGCAGUCUUGAGGACAGUAGAGGUGGGCGGAAUUCGUGGUGUAGCGGUGAAAUGCUUAGAUAUCACGAAGAACUCCGAUUGCGAAGGCAGUUCACUGGACUGCAACUGACACUGAGGCUCGAAAGUGUGGGUAUCAAACAGGAUUAGAUACCCGUGUAGU
rnacentral:rRNA from 1 species